rnacentral:rRNA from 1 species
AUUGAACGCUGGCGGCGUGCCUAACACAUGCAAGUCGAGCGGUAACAGGUGUAGCAAUACAUGCUGACGAGCGGCGAACGGGUGAGUAAUGCUUCGGAAUCUACCCAAUGGUGGGGAAUAACCAGCCGAAAGGUUGGCUAAUACCGCAUACGUCCCACGGGAGAAAGCAGGGGAUCGCAAGACCUUGCGCCAAUGGAUGAGCCGAAGUCGGAUUAGCUAGUUGGAGGGUAACGGCCUACCAAGGCGACGAUCCGUAGCUGGUCUGAGAGGACGACCAGCCACACUGGGACUGAGACACGGCCCAGACUCCUACGGGAGGCAGCAGUGGGGAAUAUUGGACAAUGGGGGAAACCCUGAUCCAGCGACGCCGCGUGUGUGAAGAAGGCCUGCGGGGUUGUAAAGCACUUUUAGUGGGGAUGAAAUGUUCAGGGUUAACACCUCUGGUAUUUUGACCUAACCCACAGAAAAAGCACCGGCUAACUCUGUGCCA